CCACCAUAUUCGCCGCAGUUGCUCUUUGCGCCGGCGUUUGUGAUGGAGCUGCUGCGGCUUGCAGAACGCAAUGGAACAAAGGCGCACCUAAGCGCGCUCUGCAAGUAUGGAGUAUCAAUUGCCCUUUAUGUUUUCGUCGGAUGCGCAUGGCCUAACUAAACCCGGCCACGUCCAUGCCAGUGGAGAACGAUAAUUCACGAGUUGGAACCUUGGCGGCGCUUUUUUUUUUUUCGUCCUUCCCCCCUCCCUGGUUAAACCCGGGCCAGGGGAAUAUGGUGAUAACAUCGCACGUACCCGACGGAGGGGCCGCGCCAACAACCAAUAGAGCCAAAAGAGAGAAAUCAAGAAGG
rnacentral:sRNA from 2 species